CAGCCGCCGCGGGAAUACGUAGGGUCCGAGCGUUGUCCGGAAUUAUUGGGCGUAAAGGGCUCGUAGGCGGUUUGUUGCGUCGGGAGUGAAAACCUACAGCUUAACUGUGGGCUUGCUUUCGAUACGGGCAGACUUGAGGCAUUCAGGGGAGAACGGAAUUCCUGGUGUAGCGGUGAAAUGCGCAGAUAUCAGGAGGAACACCGGUGGCGAAGGCGGUUCUCUGGGAAUGUUCUGACGCUGAGGAGCGAAAGUGUGGGGAGCGAACAGGAUUAGAUACCCCCGUAGUCCCUGUCUCUUAUAC
rnacentral:rRNA from 1 species